GAGUUUGAUCCUGGCUCAGGACGAACGCUUGCGACGUGCCUAAGAAAUGCAAGUCGAGCGAGGCAGCAAUGCCUAGCGGCGAACGGUCGCGUAACACGUAAGCAACCUGCCCCAAAGACCGGGACAACGUUCCGAAAGGAGCGCUAAUACCGGAUGUGCCCGUCGGGUGACAUCGCCUGAUGAGUAAAUCGAGCAAUCGGCUUUGGGAGGGGCUUGCGGCCUAUCAGCUAGAUGGUGGGGUAACGGCCUACCAUGGCGACGACGGGUAGCUGGUCUGAGAGGAUGGUCAGCCGGAUUGGGACUGAGAUGCGGCCCAGACUCCUACGGGGGGCAGCAAUUAGGAAUCUUGCGCAAUGGGCGAAAGCCUGACGCAGCGACGUCGCGUGGGGGAGGAAGGCUUUCGGGUUGUAAACCCCUUUUAUCGAGGAAGAAACAAAUGACGGUACUCGAUGAAUAAGCCCCGGCUAACUCCGUGCCAGCAGCCGCGGUAACACGUAGGGGGCAAGCGUUGUCCGGAUUUAUUGGGCGUAAAGAGCUCGUAGGUGGUUCGGUAAGUCAGGUGUGAAACCUCCAGGCUCAACCUGGAGACGCCACUUGAUACUGCUGUGACUGGAGUCCGGUAGGGGAGCGUGGAAUUCCUGGUGUAGCGGUGAAAUGCGCAGAUAUCAGGAGGAACACCAGCGGCGAAGGCGGCGCUCUGGGCCGGUACUGACACUGAGGAGCGAAAGCGUGGGUAGCAAACAGGAUUAGAUACCCUGGUAGUCCACGCCGUAAACGUUGGGCACUAGGUGUGGGUCACAACCAACGUGAUCUGUGCCGUAGCUAACGCAUUAAGUGCCCCGCCUGGGGAGUACGGCCGCAAGGCUAAAACUCAAAGGAAUUGACGGGGGCCCGCACAAGCGGCGGAGCAUGUUGCUUAAUUCGAGGCAACGCGAAGAACCUUACCUGGGCUUGACAUGUGGGGAAAAGCCGUAGAGAUACGGUGUCCUUCGGGGCCCCAUACAGGUGGUGCAUGGCUGUCGUCAGCUCGUGUCGUGAGAUGUUGGGUUAAGUCCCGCAACGAGCGCAACCCCCGGGUCUAGUUAGGUUCCUAGACCGACUGCCGGGACCAACCCGGAGGAAGGUGGGGAUGACGUCAAGUCAGCACGGCCCUUACGUCCUGGGCUACACACACGCUACAAUGGCCGGUACAGCGGGCGGUGCGAAGCCGUGAGGCGGAGCGAAUCCCUGCAAAGCCGGCCCCAGUGCAGAUCGGGGGCUGCAACUCGCCCCCGUGAAGUCGGAGUUGCUAGUAACCGCGGGUCAGCACACCGCGGUGAAUACGUUCCCGGGCCUUGCACACAC
rnacentral:rRNA from 1 species